rnacentral:rRNA from 1 species
CCUACGGGAGGCAGCAGUGGGGAAUAUUGGGCAAUGGGCGCAAGCCUGACCCAGCAACGCCGCGUGAAGGAAGAAGGCCCUCGGGUUGUAAACUUCUUUUGUCAGGGACGAAGCAAGUGACGGUACCUGACGAAUAAGCCACGGCUAACUACGUGCCAGCAGCCGCGGUAAUACGUAGGUGGCAAGCGUUAUCCGGAUUUACUGGGUGUAAAGGGCGUGUAGGCGGGAUUGCAAGUCAGAUGUGAAAACCACGGGCUCAACCUGUGGCCUGCAUUUGAAACUGCAGUUCUUGAGUACUGGAGAGGCAGACGGAAUUCCUAGUGUAGCGGUGAAAUGCGUAGAUAUUAGGAGGAACACCAGUGGCGAAGGCGGUCUGCUGGACAGCAACUGACGCUGAGGCGCGAAAGCGUGGGGAGCAAACAGGAUUAGAUACCCCGGUA